CGCGUCUCAUUUUAACUACAACUCUAAACUCUGCGAGUCUGCUCUCUCCUCUCAUUCCUUUUAUCUCGUUUCUUUCACCCUCGUUCUCUCUCCUGAAAUUCUCCCUCAUUUACUCCAUCUAUGGCAAACUGAUUUCAGGCAUGGAUUCAAGCAAUGUCUCUUCAUUUUAAUGGAAUUAUUAUUGUUCUGCUCAAGGGCAAGUAGGAGAAACUGCUCUGAAUGAUAAAAGUUCAAGAUCACAUCAGAUACUGAGACUGGAAUUAAUAUAUUUUACUGCACAUUGUGCUUAAUUGCGGUUGAAGUUGAUCUUAAUCGUUUAAUUCUGGUGUGAUACCUGCUUGAAAUGUUUGCAUGAAUUGUAAAUUUUCUGCAUUUUUCACUGUGAUUUUGAUACGGAGUAGUAUUUUGAAACUUUUAUUUAUUGAUAACCCUAAUUUUCGGUAUUAGAUGUGAGUGAUUGAUAUUUGUCUUCAAUUUGAAAGGUUGUUUAAGCUUAAAUAUAUCAUUUAUACUAUUGAUUGAUUUCCCCCUCG